UACGGAGGGUGCAAGCGUUAUCCGGAUUCACUGGGUUUAAAGGGUGCGUAGGAGGGCAGGUAAGUCAGUGGUGAAAUCUCCAAGCUUAACUUGGAAACUGCCGUUGAUACUAUCUGUCUUGAAUAUUGUGGAGGUGAGCGGAAUAUGUCAUGUAGCGGUGAAAUGCUUAGAUAUGACAUAGAACACCAAUUGCGAAGGCAGCUCACUACACAAUCAUUGACGCUGAGGCACGAAAGCGUGGGGAUCAAACAGG
rnacentral:rRNA from 1 species